CAAGAAAAUGAGCGCUUUUAUCAUCUCUGCCAUCUCUUCUCUUUUAGACGUCAGGAAUCUUGGACUCGUUCUUGGAGCAGAUAAUCGAGUAACUUUCUCAAGGGCACGUUGACUCUCCGUAUGUUUCUUCCAGUAUCACCGAUUUUCAGUAGUUCUCAUGAAUGUCUUUCGAGCCUGGUAUGCUCUAGAGAUGUGUCCAUGCAGAUAUUCUCCACUGUAGCAGAACAACUUUCAUCAAUGUAUUCGCACAUCUCCUCAAUCCAUGCAGCCAGUGUUUCUGCCAGCUUCUCUUCGUGUCUCCCAUAAAGUCGACGUCAACAGGACUGGGCAAGUCUGAAAAUACCUCAGAGCCUCACCAUUAAGCUGAUGACAGGCAGAUCUUCCAGUGUCUGGCCUUUCAGAUUCUGGGAACUGACCUGUGAACUCAGGUUUCUGGGCAGCAGCAGUAUCUCGAACUUAAACAGCUUCCCGUACAAAAGACCUAAGCCAAUCUCCACAUAGAGCAGCAGACACACCAUCAAACUGAUCCACCCACAGAAUUCUGCACAUUUACCUUGGAUACACCAGCCGCAAUACGCCUCGUGAUACACACCAACAUUCCACCUGGAAUCCAACCGACGUCAGGAAUAUUGGACCCGUUCUUGGAGCAGAUAAUCGAGUAACUUUCUCAAGGGCACGUUGACUCUCCGUAUGUUUCUUCCAGUAUCACCGAGGUUCAGUAGGUCUCAUGAAUGUCUUUCGAGCCUGGUAUGCUCUAGAGAUGUCUCCAAGCCGAUAAUCUCCACUGUAGCAGAACAACUUUCAUCAAUGUGUUCGCACAUCUCCUCAAUCCAUGCAGCCAGUGUUUCUGCCAGCUUCUCUUCGUGUCUCCCAUAAAGUCGACGUCAACAGGACUGGGCAAGUCUGAAAAUACUUCGGAGCCUCACCAGUAAGCUAAUGAGUGGCAGAUCUUCCACUGUCUGCCCUUUCAGAUUCUGGGAACUGACCUGUGAACUCAGGUCUCAGGGCAGCAGCAGUAUCUCGAACUUACUCAGCUUCCCGAACAAAAGACCUAAGCCAAUCUCCACAUAGGGUAGCAGACCCAAUAUUAAACUGAUCCACCCACAGAAUACUGCCCAGUUACCUUGGAUCCACCAGCUGCAACACGCCUCGUGGUACACACCAAAAUUCCACCUGGAAUCCAACCGACGUCAGGAAUAUUGGACCCGUUCUUGGAGCAGAUAAUCGAGUAACUUUCUCAAGGGCACGUUGACUCUCCGUAUGUUUCUUCCAGUAUCACCGAGGUUCAGUAGGUCUCAUGAAUGUCUUUCGAGCCUGGUAUGCUCUAGAGAUGUCUCCAAGCCGAUAAUCUCCACUGUAGCAGAACAACUUUCAUCAAUGUGUUCGCACAUCUCCUCAAUCCAUGCAGCCAGUGUUUCUGCCAGCUUCUCUUCGUGUCUCCCAUAAAGUCGACGUCAACAGGACUGGGCAAGUCUGAAAAUACUUCGGAGCCUCACCAGUAAGCUAAUGAGUGGCAGAUCUUCCACUGUCUGCCCUUUCAGAUUCUGGGAACUGACCUGUGAACUCAGGUCUCAGGGCAGCAGCAGUAUCUCGAACUUACUCAGCUUCCCGAACAAAAGACCUAAGCCAAUCUCCACAUAGGGUAGCAGACCCAAUAUUAAACUGAUCCACCCACAGAAUACUGCCCAGUUACCUUGGAUCCACCAGCUGCAACACGCCUCGUGGUACACACCAAAAUUCCACCUGGAAUCCAACCGCCAAGCAUCUGCUGUGCACUCUGCUAAUACUCAGCACAUCACCUUCAAUCCCAAGCCUGCUGCCAGCUUGAGAGUGUGCUUCCAAAUAAAACAGAGUUUCACCAUUGAUGCUCCAUUACCAGAGGUCAGAUCCUGCACUGGUUUCCAUUCUCUACUUUGCCUUUUCCUGCUUCCGGUUUUUCUGAGGCCUCAUCC